AAACUUAGGAUAAUACCAAACCAAAG
rnacentral:tRNA from 1 species